rnacentral:rRNA from 1 species
GAUGAACGCUAGCGACAGGCCUAACACAUGCAAGUCGAGGGGCAGCACAUGAGUAGCAAUACGAUGGUGGCGACCGGCGCACGGGUGAGUAACACGUAUGCAACCUACCGGUAAAAGGGGGAUAGCCUCUCGAAAGAGAGAUUAAUACCGCAUAAUAUCUCUGGAUGGCAUCAUUUAGAGAUUAAACAUUUAUGGUUUUCCGAUGGGCAUGCGUAUGAUUAGCUAGUAGGUGAGGUAACGGCUCACCUAGGCAACGAUCAUUAGGGGUUCUGAGAGAAAGUUCCCCCACACUGGUACUGAGACACUGACCAGACUCCUACGGGAGGCAGCAGUGAGGAAUAUUGGCCAAUGGGCGAGAGCCUGGACCAGCCAAGUCGCGUUAAGGAUGAAGGUUCUAUGGAUUGUAAACUUCUUUUGUAAGGGAGUAAAAAGAGCUACGUGUAGUUUAUUGUCUGUACUUUACGAAUAAGGAUCGGCUAACUCCGUGCCAGCCGCCGCAGUAA